GCUUAAAUUAGGUUUCCCUGUCUAACGUCAUGACGUAGACGUUUAUUUGUUGAACGUCAACGUCUUUUCCAGCCAGAUUUCUGUAGCUGAAGCUGACAUUUUUUCUCCUCGUCAAUCUCAUCAUCCACGCGGUCAAGGUCACUCUGAAAAACGCCCUGGACACAACUCAUCAAACUACCCAAAGACUGCCAUGGCUCAUUCCACAACUGCCAGACUUAAAGUGAUUUUGGGGGACAACAACAUUGAAAAACUGACACUUCCCAAUGGAAUACCAGAGUCACUAGAUGACC